rnacentral:rRNA from 1 species
GAUGAACGCUAGCGACAGGCUUAACACAUGCAAGUCGAGGGGCAGCAUGAGUGUAGCAAUACAUUUGAUGGCGACCGGCGCACGGGUGAGUAACGCGUAUCCAACCUGCCCAUAACUCAGGGAUAGGCUUUCGAAAGAGAGAUUAAUACCUGAUGGUAUCAAAAGAGAGCAUUUGAUUUUGAUUAAAGAAUUUCGGUUAUGGAUGGGGAUGCGUCCGAUUAGCUGGUUGGCGGGGUAACGGCCCACCAAGGCGACGAUCGGUAGGGGUUCUGAGAGGAAGGUCCCCCACAUUGGAACUGAGACACGGUCCAAACUCCUACGGGAGGCAGCAGUGAGGAAUAUUGGUCAAUGGGCGAGAGCCUGAACCAGCCAAGUCGCGUGAAGGAUGACUGCCCUAUGGGUUGUAAACUUCUUUUAUAAAGGAAUAAAAAGAUGUACGUGUACAUUAUUGUAUGUACUUUAUGAAUAAGCAUCGGCUAACUCCGUGCCAGCAGCCGCGGUAAUACGGAGGAUGCGAGCGUUAUCCGGAUUUAUUGGGUUUAAAGGGUGCGUAGGCGGAAGAUUAAGUCAGCGGUGAAAUUUUGUAGCUUAACUAUAAACUUGCCGUUGAAACUGGUUUUCUAGAGUGUAAAUGAGGUAGGCGGAAUGUGUUGUGUAGCGGUGAAAUGCAUAGAUAUGACACAGAACUCCGAUUGCGAAGGCAGCUUACUGGGAUACAACUGACGCUGAAGCACGAAAGCGUGGGUAUCAAACAGGAUUAGAUACCCUGGUAGUCCACGCAGUAAACGAUGAUCACUAGCUGUUUGCGAUAGAAUGUAAGUGGCACAGCGAAAGCGUUAAGUGAUCCACCUGGGGAGUACGCCGGCAACGGUGAAACUCAAAGGAAUUGACGGGGGCCCGCACAAGCGGAGGAACAUGUGGUUUAAUUCGAUGAUACGCGAGGAACCUUACCCGGGCUUAAAUUAUGCAUGAAUAAGGAUGAAAGUCUUUAGCCGCAAGGCAUGCAUGAAGGUGCUGCAUGGUUGUCGUCAGCUCGUGCCGUGAGGUGUCGGCUUAAGUGCCAUAACGAGCGCAACCCUUAUCGAUAGUUACUAACAGGUUAUGCUGAGGACUCUAUUGAGACUGCCGUCGUAAGAUGUGAGGAAGGUGGGGAUGACGUCAAAUCAGCACGGCCCUUACGUCCGGGGCGACACACGUGUUACAAUGGGUGGUACAAAGGGCAGCUUCACAGCGAUGUGUGGCUAAUCUCCAAAACCAUUCUCAGUUCGGAUUGGAGUCUGCAACUCGACUCCAUGAAGCUGGAUUCGCUAGUAAUCGCGCAUCAGCCAUGGCGCGGUGAAUGCGUUCCCGGGCC